UCCUGACAUUUCAUGUGUCAAGGACAAUGCUCUAGUGAUAGAUACCCCAUGAAAUCCUUCUUCAGAGCUGUCACAAGGAAAGACUGCUCCAUCUAGACUAGUUUAAGCAAUUUCUAUUUUUCCCAAUUCACUUGGCAUUCAGCCUGCUGUCUGUUGUCCUCUGCAGCCUCCCCAGCUCCACAUGGUUUGGUUCUGGACAGACCUAUUUAACUAGUGCCAUUAAAUAAAAGUAGAUAGGUAAUUAAAUUAAACAUUAGAUUCAACAGUACUUUAAAAUUAAGCACUUCCUUUCUGAACUGUUGAUGUAGAAUGUCCAGAGACCCCGUUGUGGUCCAGACUGAAGGGCUGGAUCCUCAGAAACCAGCCAGUUCUUGGACCGUGCUGCACCCUUAACUUGGAACAAAAGCAUUUGGAGCCCUUGUGAUUUCAGAACAAUAAGCAGCUUAUUUACAACUCCCUUGGCAGGACUCUGGAUGCCCAUGGGAAGCUGGGGGCAGGUUCAAAAUCCUGAAGCCCUGAAGGAUCCUGCUUUGGGUACAGGCUCAGCCUGGCUGGUCUUUGAUGGAGCGUAUUUCCCCUGUCUCCCUUCUGAAGUCAGGCCCAUCAUUUGAUAAAGGCUUCAAACACUUUGUUGUCUUAAGCCUUUUGAACCAGGGCUGGAGGUCCUGGUGGCACUGAAGAUGUCAUCCCAGGGUGGUGACAUCACCUCCCACAUGUUGUGCUCUCUCCAGUGGCUGUAAGGAUGAAGGGAAUCAUUGGUUGGGGCUGUUCCCAGCUCAGAUGGAUCACUGGGAUUGAGAUUUGCUGGCAGGCUCAGGAAGACCCAUCCCUCUUGGCAAAUGAAACAAGCAGUGCUUUAACUGGGACCUCUGCAACCCAACUGGGGUGUCAUGAAAGAGUCUUCAGCUGCUCAGUGCCAUCAGUGGGUUCUUACUGCCUCUGGUUUUCUUCCCUGCCUUCCAGCUGGCAGAGACAGAAAAGCCAAUGAGAUUUGCAUGCUUUUGUCAGGUUUUGAGGCAAAGCAGCAUUUUAGUGUUCUGCUUUGAUCUUCUGGCUGGCCUGGGAUAAAUUCGGGUGGUCUCUCAUCCUCCUUUAAAGUUUUCAAGCUCAAUGUCUGCUUCUGAUGCUGUAUUUGUUCUUUUGCUGUGAAUUAUCUCACAUCUUCACAUUUAAUUUUGUCUCUGGUCCUAUAGAGUGUAUAUUUCUCUCAUGUUAGUAUUGAAAUAUUUGAAUGCAGAGUUUUAUGCUGUUGAAUUUCCAACUAUUUUUUCUCCAAAUUAAAUUUUUAUCUCUGA